CGCCUCCUCGCCCCGCGCGGCUAAAGCCGGACCGUGCGGGGCCAGGGGUAGAGAACGGCCCCUCGCCGGGACUUGAACGCCAGACCCACGGAGCCCACGGCAAGUCCGCUCCGCUCGGAAAAUAUAGACCUUUUCAUCCCGCACUCAUGACCCUCUCCUUUCCCCCAAAAUAUAAACAACUCGAGGGCGGAGGCCAGGGAACUGCCGCCCGGCUUUACGUAACUUGACCCACAGGCGGGCGGCGGCAGGUGGCUGCACCCGGCGAGCAAGGUGCUCGAAGCCCCGAGAACGCAGGACGCCGCUCGGGCAGCGAGACGGCCGGGAAGCACGAGAGGCCGGGGAGCGGCGGCGGCCUCCUUACCUUUCCAGAUGCCCAGAGAGAGCUGGGACGUGUCCAAGUCCACCACAUAGUCCCCCAAGAACCGGUUCAACACGUCCACGACCACCGACUCGAAAACCAUGUUCCUCAGCCGUGGUGGGCACGGCAGCCGGCCCGUGCGCUCCUCCUCCCGCCGCCUUCCCCACGCCCCUCCCUCGAGUAAAUGUCAUUGGUGUGCUGCUUG
rnacentral:lncRNA from 1 species